AGUGAACGCUGGCGGUAGGCCUAACACAUGCAAGUCGAACGGCAGCACAGUAAGAGCUUGCUCUUACGGGUGGCGAGUGGCGGACGGGUGAGGAAUACAUCGGAAUCUACUUUUUCGUGGGGGAUAACGUAGAGAAACUUACGCUAAUACCGCAUACGACCUACGGGUGAAAGCAGGGGAUCUUCGGACCUUGCGCGAUUGAAUGAGCCGAUGUCGGAUUAGCUAGUUGGCGGGGUAAAGGCCCACCAAGGCGACGAUCCGUAGCUGGUCUGAGAGGAUGAUCAGCCACACUGGAACUGAGCCACGGUCCAGACUCCUACGGGAGGCAGCAGUGGGGAAUAUUGGACAAUGGGCGCAAGCCUGAUCCAGCCAUACCGCGUGGGUGAAGAAGGCCUUCGGGUUGUAAAGCCCUUUUGUUGGGAAAGAAAAGCAGCAGGUUAAUACCCAGCUGUUCUGACGGUACCCAAAGAAUAAGCACCGGCUAACUUCGUG
rnacentral:rRNA from 1 species